rnacentral:rRNA from 1 species
CCUACGGGAGGCAGCAGUGAGGAAUAUUGGUCAAUGGGCGCGCGCCUGAACCAGCCAAGUAGCGUGAAGGAUGACUGCCCUACGGGUUGUAAACUUCUUUUAUAAAGGAAUAAAGUGAGGCACGUGUGCCUUUUUGUAUGUACUUUAUGAAUAAGGAUCGGCUAACUCCGUGCCAGCAGCCGCGGUAAUACGGAGGAUCCGAGCGUUAUCCGGAUUUAUUGGGUUUAAAGGGAGCGUAGAUGGGAUGUUAAGUCAGUUGUGAAAGUUUGCGGCUCAACCGUAAAAUUGCAAUUGAUACUGGCAGCCUUGAGUACGGUUGAGGUAGGCGGAAUGCGUGGUGUAGCGGUGAAAUGCUUAGAUAUCACGAAGAACUCCGAUUGCGAAGGCAGCCUACUAGACUGCAACUGACGUUGAUGCUCGAAAGUGUGGGUAUCAAACAGGAUUAGAUACCCGGGUAGUC